UGUAUUUGAGGCUUCAUGAGAACCCAAGAAAAUAGAAGCAACCAAAGAGACGACGAGGAACAACAACAACAACAAGACGGUCCGGCACAGGCAAAGGGACACACAGGUCUUAAAUAGACAAGGUAACGAGACACAGGUGAAACACAUGAGGGCGGGGCAAACAAUCACAAAGGUGGGAACACAGGAGAAGUAAAACACAUGACAAACACAACUUUCAAAGUACAACAGGAAACGGGACAGAACCAAAGUAACAUCACACAGACAGCCAGAACACGGGGAACACCAACAACUCAAGAACCCAAAUAAUACAAAGCAGCAAGAAAAUAAUCUAGAAACAAUCCAGAACCCAAAACACAGAAUCAUGACAGAAGCCUAUUUAUUUGACUGCAGUAAGAAGAAGACAUGUUCCUGCUUCAGCAUCUUUGUUUGUUUCCUGUUUCUGACCAUAAACCACAUGUGAAGUCAUACAUCUUCUUCGUCUGAAGCUGAUCAGGAACAUUUGUGACUGUCCAGUGUACAUGUCAGUGUGGACAUAUCUGUCUGACAGCUGCUGACUGCAUCAACAAACAGCCACAGUGAGGAGACAUGGAAGCUGAGUUUGGACUCCUGAUGAUGAUUCUAGGACUCUCUCUUGGUGUGGACACAUACUGUGACGGCAGACAGGGUGGAGCUCAGUGUUAUGGAGUUUUGGGAGCAUCUGUGACUCUCAGGCUGAUGGAUGAUGCUUCAGAAAUAUUUAGAUUCCAAUGGAGAAAAGAAUCAUCAGUGAUACUCAAGUGGAGAAAUAAUAAGAUUACAAAUACGUUACAAUACAGAUCUGAGUUUAUUCUCUCUAAUGGAACAUUUAGGAUCAAUAACCUGAGCAGGGAUGAUGGUGGUGAAUAUGUCCUUGAGAUACAUGAUAAUUCAGGGAGACUGACAUCACAGCAGUCUCUGCAUCUGUCUGUUGAAGCUCCUGUGUCCUCUGUCCUGCUGACCUCUGAGUGUCUGACCAGUGGACAGAAGAGGCUGUCCUGCUCCUCUGGGGGAGGGGACAGUCCUCAGUGGAGCUGGACUCUGGAUGGACGUCCACUGACAGACGCUGAGCUCGACUCUGGAAACAGUGAGACCAACAACAUCACUGUGAAACAAGGCGUCUCAGGAUAUCUGGUCUGCACAGUCAGUAACCAUGUCAGCAGAGUCUGUGGCUUUGUGGACAUUAAGUGUGAACUGUCCAAUGAGAAACAAAGAUCAGACCAAGUGUUUGAAAGUAAUCACACCGUGUGUGUCAAACCGACAACAGCCCCUACCACUACCACUACUGUGGAAAUCUGGCCAAUAAUGGCUGGCGUUCUCUCAGCAAUGGUAAUUUUCUUGGUUCUUGGCGUAACAGUGAUCCUUCUUCAGAUGAAAAAGAAAAACAACAGUCCAAGAGAGGAAGAUGACCAGGAACUGACCUAUGCUGAUGUUAGGGUUGUGAAGCGGCAGGGAAGACAGGCAAAGCAGGAGAACCAAAGGGCGGAGGAUGAGGUGGAGUAUGGCCAGGUCAAGUUUUCAGAGCGCCCUCGGCAGACUGUUCCAGCAGCAGCAGCAGAGGACGAGUGUCUGUACUCCAUGGUCCGUAAAGGCAGGUGAUGUGCUUUGAUAAAGACUCAGACGCGUGACUUCCCAUCAAGCCAUCAAUUUGUUUCACUUUUCUUUACUGUCAUAUAUUUGGGGCAUCAUCUGGUCGGAGCUAUAGGCCUAACAUUACCAUCCCUGCCUGAAGAGACUGCACUCAAAAGGAUACACCUUAAAACACAAGUAAUAAUAAUUAUGUGUUACCUCAACGUUAUUUUGGAAUAACAUAAAUUUCAUCGGAAUGCUGGCCACGAGAACUCACAGGCUUAUGAUGGUGUGUGUGUGUGUGUUGGGGGGAAGUGUUUUUAUCUGCCUUCAUCUCUGUGGUUUAGAUGAUUUAAGAAGUGUUUUGGGUUUCUCACAGUAAGCACAAAUUUGUUUCCAUGAAGUAAAAGCUUCUGCUUUUUCUCUCCUCCUCUGUUGCCAAAGUAUUGCAGAUUUUGUAAGUUGUUUCACCGGCUCCUGUUUGAGUGAGUUGUGUAAACUAUAAUGGUGCUCCUGUCUCCAUAUCUUAAACUGAUAUAACAUCAGUACAGCUGAUCCAUCCACAUAUGUGUUCAUAUGUGCCGAUUAAGCAUUUUUUUCUUUUUUCACUGAAACUCGGCAACUAAUGUGGUGUUCAGUAUGCACCAUUACAGGUGUAGGAAGGAAGGCAGCGUCUGAGCUGAGUGAUUGUUUAUCUUUGAAAUCCAUCAAGGUUUCUAUUUAUAGUUUGAUGCGCAACAGUUUCAAAUGAACCAAUGAAAAACGGAAAACAUACAACAUCAAUGUGAUACAACCAGAGAUAUUUACCUUUCAUGUGCAGAUUUUAUAUUGCAUUAGGUUAUUUAACAUUCAAGCCUGGACAACUGUAGAAGUAUUUAUACUGAAGUGGUUAUUUUAUAUCGACCAACAAUAUGUCAGUCAUCAGGGAAAAAAGGACUGGACACAUUAAGUAGUUUUUGUUAUUUCUGAAUUGCUGUGCAGAAGUCUUUGUUGGAGUGCUUUAAAUGCUUUGUGAAUUUUGCAGCACUUUUAUAGAGGUUUUCUUUUUUUUUUCCGGAGCUAUUUUCAAACCGUACUUGUAGUGUUAAUUAAUAGAAUGUGUUUAAGGCGCCUGUAAAAAACAACUGUGUAUUAUCAUGUGUUAAGUUUAGUGCAGUUAGUGCAGUAGUGUGGUUCACUGUUAGUUUAGUUCUGUCUUAUGUGGUCAGAGAGAAUGCACCAAUCACUGGUGUACUUGUGUAUAUAUGUAUAUAUAUUAUAUAAUAUGUAUGUAUAUUUAAUAUAAUUAUAUAUAUUAUAUAUAUAAUUAUGUGUGUGUGUGUAGGGUAUUUAAAGGUAGGGUAGGAGAUUUCCUUCUGAUGCACUUUAUGUUCAAUUAGUUUGACUUCUCUUUACAAUCCGGUAGCAACCAAUUAGUUUGGCAGCUUCGCAUUAAAACAAAGAAUAUAAAUCAUCUGUGGAAGCUAUAAAAUGCUAAAAACAUCAGCCAAUCCUCCGGGUGGACCCUGCGUGGAGUAUUGGCUGGUUGUCACUCUCUUCCUGCUCUGCGUGCACCAGAGAGGAACGUGCAUGAUGGCCGAAGUCACAGGCCGCAGCUCGUCUUCAGGUUAAUGCGCGUCCAUGUGAUUGGGAGGCGUGGCUUCGGGGUGAGCUCCAAGAGGAAGGGGCGUGUGUUUACUUUUGAAAUCUGGCUGACUCUCACUGAGUUUUCAAAAUCUCCUACCCUACCUUUAAUUUAAUGAAUAUAUAUAUAUAUAUAUAUAUAUAUAUUUAAUUGAAAUAUUUUUUGUAAUGAUUCCUUUUUUUUGUGUACAUGCACUGUUGUGUGACAGUAUGUGCUUCAGUUUGUUGAGAUGUUUACUGUGGGAUUAAUCAAAGACAGAGGUUAUACAGUAUGUUCGGUUUGAUAGUCUAGGGUUAAAGGUUGACAGUCAUUCAGCUGAUUCACACUGCCAUAAAAAUUACGAUCCACAAUAGUAUAAUGUCCUUAAAUAACCUCCAGAAAUCCUUUUUAUUCUUGUGUUUUAUUACACUUAUUCUUUUCUCAAGUCACUCAAUACUACUUUGCUUCAUCAUCAUCAGCGUUGGUUAAUCCUUUACACAGAAAACCCACAGGGACUGUUACACCCGAACUCUGGAUCAAUUUGUUACAUCAGAAUUAAACAUUUAUUUUGUCCUUAUGAAAGCCAGGAGGUUUUAUCUCUGUCAUGACUCUUUCAUGUGAUGUUUUCUUUCCAUGCCAAAGCUAUUAAACAAUAAAACC
ensembl:lncRNA